rnacentral:rRNA from 1 species
GAUGAACGCUGGCGGCGUGCCUAACACAUGCAAGUCGAGCGAUCUUCUUCGGAAGGGAGCGGCGGACGGGUGAGUAACGCGUGGGUAACCUGCCCUGUACACACGGAUAACAUACCGAAAGGUAUGCUAAUACGGGAUAACAUAAGAAAGUCGCAUGGCUUUCUUAUCAAAGCUUUUGCGGUACAGGAUGGACCCGCGUCUGAUUAGCUAGUUGGUAAGGUAACGGCUUACCAAGGCGACGAUCAGUAGCCGACCUGAGAGGGUGAUCGGCCACAUUGGAACUGAGACACGGUCCAAACUCCUACGGGAGGCAGCAGUGGGGAAUAUUGCACAAUGGGCGAAAGCCUGAUGCAGCAACGCCGCGUGAGCGAUGGAGGCCUUCGGGUCGUAAAGCUCUGUCCUCAAGGAAGAUAAUGACGGUACUUGAGGAGGAAGCCCCGGCUAACUACGUGCCAGCAGCCGCGGUAAUACGUAGGGGGCUAGCGUUAUCCGGAAUUACUGGGCGUAAAGGGUGCGUAGGCGGUCUUUCAAGUCAGAAGUGAAAGGCUACGGCUCAACCGUAGUAAGCUUUUGAAACUGUAAGACUUGAGUGCAGGAGAGGAGAGUGGAAUUCCUAGUGUAGCGGUGAAAUGCGUAGAUAUUAGGAGGAACACCAGUUGCGAAGGCGGCUCUCUGGACUGUACUGACGCUGAGGCACG